AUUGAACGCUGGCGGCAGGCCUAACACAUGCAAGUCGAGCGGAUGAGGAAAGCUGGCUUUUCGAUUCAGCGGCGGCCGGGUGAGUAAUGCCUAGGAAUCUGCCUGUUAGUGGGGGAUAACUCGGGGAAACUCGGGCUAAUACCGCAUACGUCCUACGGGAGAAAGUGGGGGAUCUUCGGACCUCACGCUAACAGAUGAGGCUAGGUCGGAUUAGCUAGUAGGUGAGGUAAUGGCUCACCUAGGCGACGAUCCGUAACUGGUCUGAGAGGAUUAUCAGUCACACUGGAACUGAGACACGGUCCAGACUCCUACGGGAGGCAGCAGUGGGGAAUAUUGGACAAUGGGCGAAAGCCUGAUCCAGCCAUGCCGCGUGUGUGAAGAAGGUCUUCGGAUUGUAAAGCACUUUAAGUUGGGAGGAAGGGUAUUCACCUAAUACGUGGGUACUUUGACGUUACCAACAGAAUAAGCACCGGCUAACUCUGUGCCAGCAGCCGCGGUAACAC
rnacentral:rRNA from 1 species